ACGUAGGGUGCGAGCGUUAUUCGGAUUUACUGGGCGUAAAGGGUCCGCAGGGGGUUUGCCAAGUCCGAUGUGAAAUACCCCAGCUCAACUGUGGAACGGCAUUGGAUACUGGCGAACUUGAGUGCACGAGGGGUGAGCGGAAUUCCUGGUGUAGCGGUGGAAUGCGUAGAUAUCAGGAAGAACACCGAUGGCGAAGGCGGCUCACUGGCGUGCAACUGACCCUCAGGGACGAAAGCGUGGGGAGCAAACAG
rnacentral:rRNA from 1 species